AUUGAACGCUGGCGGAAUGCUUUACACAUGCAAGUCGAACGGCAGCACGGGGGCAGCCCUGGUGGCGAGUGGCGAACGGGUGAGUAAUACAUCGGAACGUGCCCGGUCGUGGGGGAUAACGUAGCGAAAGUUACGCUAAUACCGCAUACGAUCUGAGGAUGAAAGCGGGGGACCUUCGGGCCUCGCGCGAUCGGAGCGGCCGAUGUCAGAUUAGGUAGUUGGUGGGGUAAAGGCCUACCAAGCCGACGAUCUGUAGCUGGUCUGAGAGGACGACCAGCCACACUGGGACUGAGACACGGCCCAGACUCCUACGGGAGGCAGCAGUGGGGAAUUUUGGACAAUGGGCGCAAGCCUGAUCCAGCCAUUCCGCGUGCAGGACGAAGGCCUUCGGGUUGUAAACUGCUUUUGUACGGAACGAAAAGGCUCUGGCUAAUACCUGGGGCUCAUGACGGUACCGCAAGAAUAAGCACCGGCUAACUACGUG
rnacentral:rRNA from 1 species